AUACCCAUAGUUACCACUGGGAGCAGGGUGGGCCGUUUACACUCCUCAUCCUACCUCGCCAUCACCUUAGGAAGCAGCCAUUCUCCUUGUCUUUACUGUAGAGGAGGAAGCCUGGACAGCCUGCAGUUGAGGGGACCUGCACAAGCUCACAGGACUCUUCAUCACCAUGACACCACGCUCACCGCAAAAUAAAAAUGAUCAAACCUGUCAUGAUGUCAGCAGCACCGGUGUUGGUCUUUGUGGGAAAGAAAAACACAGGCCAGGGCUGCAGCACGAUUGUGUCUGCCCAGCUCUUGCAGCCUGGAGAACACCGUUGGAUUCCCUCCCACACAUGCUCCCAGGCUGCCUGCCUGCCUCACUUACCUGCUCAGGGUGGGGCUUGAGGGUGGCCCCUGGGAAGAGUAAGAACUGGCCAAGACUGAGAUGUCCUUCCCUCAUUUAAGGUACCGCCUUUUCCCUUUUCCCGCCAUCCUGGGUGCAUGGAUACUUGGGAUUAGAAACUGGACUGGAAAUGUAAUCUUUCUUCGGUUUGGGGCUGAGAACUGGGGAUUAGUAGGAUUUUGAGUUUAUGGCACAGCCUUUUCUUACACCAUUUCCUAAAAAGCAGUUAAGAUUACACCAGGCACAGUGGCUUACGCCUAUAAUCUCAGCACUUUGGGAGGCUGAGGCAGGUGGAUCAAGACCAGCUUAACCAACAUGGUGAAACCCCAUCUCUACUAAAAAUACAAAAAUUAGCUGGGCGUGGUGGCACGCAUUUGUAGUCCCGGCUACUUGGGAGGCUGAGGCAGGAGAAUUCCUUGAACCCGGGAGGCGGAGGUUGCGGUGAGCUGAGAUUGCACCAUUGCACUCCAGCAGCCUGGGCAACAGCAACGAAACUCCGUCUCAAAAAAAAAAAAAAAUUACAGUCAUCUCCCAGAAAAAUCAAGAAGGAAGAACCUUGGAGGUUCAACCUAUAGAAGAUAUGUUCUCAUGGAAUAAACCAAAAAUAAUUUUUAUUUUCUAAAAAAUCAAGAACAGAAGUCUCUCAACAUUUAAGUUUUACAAACAAAUAGAAUCUGAGCCACUGGGUUAAACAUGACAAACGACACACAGUAACAAAUAUUGAAGACAUCAUAAUGCCAAAGCAACAGAAGCAGCACCAGAAAUGUUGCUGAGGCCACCAUUUAAUUAACGCAAGUUGAACAUAUGGCUUUGGUUACAUGUGGUUCCAGGCCAGAGGCAUGGAAGUCAGUGUUUGUGGGAAAGCCAGGAGGAAAAGCUCCUCUCCCCACCUCCACCUUGUCACUCCAGGUUCUGGUGACCCCAUCUCGGGACACGGCCUCCCAUUUCACUCCUGCACCAACCCCACUCUUGUAACACUGCACAUGCAAGAUGUGAGCAUCUUCAAAGUACGAAUAUUGCCUUCUUCAUUUUAGAAUCCAUGAUGUGCUUGUGGGGAGAAUGAAUGAAUGCUCAAACAUGAAUGGAGAGAGACAGAGAGGAAGUGCAGGUCUAACCAAGGAAACCUUCUUUCCUAGAAAAUCGUUGAUGAGCCCGGAAAGAGUUGGCUGAACAACGGUAACAAUUCUUUUAUUAUUAUUUAACUUAUUAAGUUAUUAGAAAAAGUAAAAGAGUGAGUCGAGGUUUUUGGAUUGGAAGUAGGGACCCACUGAGUUCCCUCCAGGAUUGUGGAGUUUCUUUUACAGCCACAUGUGGAUAAGAAACUAAGGGCCACAGACCAAAUGACAGGUCGGAUGGCAACCCUGGAAAAGUCACACAGCUCAGCCUGUUGGAGGAAGAGGAGCAGUAGAACCUGUGUGGAGCCUGACAGAACCCAAGAUGCCAUUCACGAACCGAGAGGUCUUUCAAGAUCACACACAGUUCUACGACACAGACAUUUCGUCUUCUUGCCACUCAGUAGCGGGGCCCAUCCCUCUGUGCCUCCAAGGAGAAAGAAUUGUGCCAUGAAAAAUGGAAAACUCCUGAGAAGCUGUUCCAGCGUCAGGAGAGCAGCAGACAAGCUGGACUGGGGAAGAUUCUUCCUGCAAGACCUGCAGAGUGUAUGACACAUAACCAGCACCCAAGAAAUGUCUACCGAGGAAUUAAUGAAUGAGGAAAUACCUCUGUACACUCACCAGACACUGGCUGCUGGUUGUCACGGUGCUAAGAGCUGUGGGAAACAUGAAGAGCAAUGAGACCAGGUCCCUGCUCUGAGGAGACGUGUGCCAGCGAAGUUUCUCUCCCACGUGAGUGUGCUACAAGAAAAUCUGAACCCGAGAAUCUGAUUCAGUAGGUCUGCACUUUCUCCACUUUGCCAGAUAAUUCUGAUUGAGACCGUCAAGGCUGUGACUAGUGGGGAGGCAGUAGAGUAUUUUCUGUGCUAGACUGAGGCAGCCCUGAAGCACUGCGCAAGCACAUGGAAAAGAGAAACGAGAUUGGGCCGGGCACGGUGGCUCAUGCCUGGAAUCUUUGGGAGGCCACGGAUCACUUGAGGACAGGGGUUUGAGACCAGCUUGGCCAACAUGGUGAAACCUUGUCCCUACUAAAAAUACAAAAAUUAGCAGGGAGUGGUGGUGCACACCUGUAAUCCCAGCUACUCUGGAGGCUGAGGCAAAAGAAUCGCUUGAACCCGGGAGGUGGAGGUUGCAGUGAGCUGAGAUUGGACCACUGCCCUCCAGCCUGGGUGAUAGAGUGAGACUCCAUCUCUAAAUAAAUAAAUACAAAUAAAAGAAAGACAAGAUUGGUCUAAC
rnacentral:lncRNA from 10 species